CCUACGGGGGGCAGCAGUGGGGAAUAUUGCGCAAUGGGGGAAACCCUGACGCAGCGACGCCGUGUGAGGGAAGAAGGCUUUCGGGUCGUAAACCUCUGUCAGAAAGGAAGAACCUCCCAUAUCCGAAUAGGGUGUGGGACUGACGGUACUUUCAAAGGAAGCACCGGCUAACUCCGUGCCAGCAGCCGCGGUAAUACGGAGGGUGCUAGCGUUAAUCGGAAUCACUGGGCGUAAAGCGCGCGUAGGCCGCUUCUUAAGUCGGACGUGAAAGCCCUCGGCUCAACCGGGGAACUGCGUUGGAGACUGGGAGGCUUGAGUCCUGGAGAGGGUGGCGGAAUUCCGGGUGUAGGAGUGAAAUCCGUAGAUAUCCGGAGGAACACCGGUGGCGAAGGCGGCCACCUGGACAGGUACUGACGCUGAGGCGCGAAAGCGUGGGGAGCAAACAGGAUUAGAUACCCGGGUAGUCC
rnacentral:rRNA from 1 species